rnacentral:rRNA from 1 species
UGAGUAACACGUGGGCAAUCUGCCCUUCACUCUGGGACAAGCCCAACGGGGUCUAAUACCGGAUACUGACCCUUGCAGGCAUCUGCGAGGUUCGAAAGCUCCGGCGGUGAAGGAUGAGCCCGCGGCCUAUCAGCUUGUUGGUGAGGUAAUGGCUCACCAAGGCGACGACGGGUAGCCGGCCUGAGAGGGCGACCGGCCACACUGGGACUGAGACACGGCCCAGACUCCUACGGGAGGCAGCAGUGGGGAAUAUUGCACAAUGGGCGAAAGCCUGAUGCAGCGACGCCGCGUGAGGGAUGACGG